GACGAACGCUGGCGGCGUGCUUAACACAUGCAAGUCGAACGGAAAGGCCUGCUUUCCCUUGUGGAUUGCGGGUACUCGAGUGGCGAACGGGUGAGUAACACGUGAGUGAUCUGCCCCCAACUUGGGUAUAAGCCUGGGAAACUGGGUCUAAUUCCCGAUAGGACUGCAGGGUGGUGCCUGUGGUGGAAAACGAUUUUCUAGUGGUUGGGGAUGAGCUCGCGGCCUAUCAGCUUGUUGGUGGGGUAAUGGCCUACCAAGGCGGCGACGGGUAGCCGGCCUGAGAGGGUGGACGGCCACAUUUGGACUGAGAUACGGCCCAGACUCCUACGGGAGGCAGCAGUGGGGAAUAUUGCGCAAUGGGCGGAAGCCUGAUGCAGCGACGCCGCGUGGGGAAUGACGGCCUUCGGGUUGUAAACUCCUUUCGACCGCGAGGAAGCCACCUGGUUGGAAGGGUGGUGACGGUAGUGGUAGAAGAAGCACCGGCUAACUACGUG
rnacentral:rRNA from 1 species